rnacentral:rRNA from 1 species
UGGNUUGUAACUGACGCUGAGGCUCGAAAGCGUGGGGAGCAAACAGGAUUAGAUACCCUGAUAGUCCACGCCGUAANCGAUGAGUGCUAGGUGUUAGACCCUUUCCGGGGUUUAGUGCCGCAGCUAACGCAUUAAGCACUCCGCCUGGGGAGUACGACCGCAAGGUUGAAACUCAAAGGAAUUGACGGGGGCCCGCACAAGCGGUGGAGCAUGUGGUUUAAUUCGAAGCAACGCGAAGAACCUUACCAGGUCUUGACAUCCCUCUGACCGCUCUAGAGAUAGAGUUUUCCUUCGGGACAGAGGUGACAGGUGGUGCAUGGUUGUCGUCAGCUCGUGUCGUGAGAUGUUGUGUUAAGUCCCGCAACGAGCGCAACCCCUAUUGUUAGUUGCCAUCAUUCAGUUGGGCACUCUAGCGAGACUGCCGGUAAUAAACCGGAGGAAGGUGGGGAUGACGUCAAAUCAUCAUGCCCCUUAUGACCUGGGCUACACACGUGCUACAAUGGCUGGUACAACGAGUCGCAAGCCGGUGACGGCAAGCUAAUCUCUUAAAGCCAGUCUCAGUUCGGAUUGUAGGCUGCAACUCGCCUACAUGAAGUCGGAAUCGCUAGUAAUCGCGGAUCAGCACGCCGCGGUGAAUACGUUCCCGGGCCUUGUACACACCGCCCGUCACACCACGAGAGUUUGUAACACCCGAAGUCGGUGAGGUAACCAUUNGGA